GACGAACGCUGGCGGCGUGCCUAAUACAUGCAAGUUGAGCGCUGAAGGUUGGUACUUGUACCAAAUGGAUGAGCAGCGAACGGGUGAGUAACGCGUGGGGAAUCUGCCUUUGAGCGGGGGACAACAUUUGGAAACGAAUGCUAAUACCGCAUAAAAACUUUAAACACAAGUUUUAAGUUUGAAAGAUGCAAUUGCAUCACUCAAAGAUGAUCCCGCGUUGUAUUAGCUAGUUGGUGAGGUAAAGGCUCACCAAGGCGAUGAUACAUAGCCGACCUGAGAGGGUGAUCGGCCACAUUGGGACUGAGACACGGCCCAAACUCCUACGGGAGGCAGCAGUAGGGAAUCUUCGGCAAUGGACGAAAGUCUGACCGAGCAACGCCGCGUGAGUGAAGAAGGUUUUCGGAUCGUAAAACUCUGUUGGUAGAGAAGAACGUUGGUGAGAGUGGAAAGCUCAUCAAGUGACGGUAACUACCCAGAAAGGGACGGCUAACUACGUG
rnacentral:rRNA from 1 species